rnacentral:lncRNA from 1 species
CAAACAUAAAAACACACAACUACAAAUUACUUCAGAACAUAACAGAUUGUACACCAGCAGUAUAAAACACACAACUACAAGUUACUUCAGAACAGAACAAAUUGUACAUAAGAAAUAUAAAACACACAACAACAAAUUACUUCAGAACAUAACAGAUUGAACAUAAGAAAUAUAAAGCACACAACAACAAAUUACUUCAGAACAUAACAAAUUGUACAUCAGCAGUAUAAAACACACAACUACAAGUUACUUCAGACCAUAACAGAUUGUACAUAAGCAGUAUAAAACACACAACUACAAGUUACUUCAGAACGUACAAAUUGUACAUAAGCAGUAAAAAAACACACAACUAAUUACUUUAGAACAUAACAGGUUGCACACCUGCAGUAUAAAACACAACUGCAAGUUACUUCAGAACAUAA